CCCCCAAAGCCACAGGGUCGGAGAAGCACCCCCAGGUAAAGGCCUGAUUAAUCAGCUGAGCCACUUGAAUUGUUUUCUAAUAGCAUCCCAGUGCCCUGCAGGCUGCUGCUCUGUCCUCCCUCCUGUGUCCUAGGAGGGCCGAAGUUCACUCUCCAGCCAACUCAGGAGUUUCCGCUAGAAGAUAGAGAAGAAAACAGGAGCCGUGGACCAGCUUCAGAGGAAGUGGAAGGCGACUCGCUCAGAACCAAGACGUCACAUUGUAAGGAAGCCCAGUCCUUCCUACUCGUGGAGGGGACACAGACUGGUGUUCUAGCUGACAACUCCAGCUAAAGUUUCAGCCUGCCACCAAUGUCAUGUUACUGAGUGAGCCUUCGGAGAAUUCCAGCCCCAGCCGUCAAUACCAACUGGAGCAGACAUGAGCUAUCCCCACCAAGCCUUAGAAAGGUGGCAGAUUCAUGAGCAAACUAAAUGCUGUCAUUGUUAAGCGCUAAGUUGGGGGUUGCUUUGUUACACAGCACUAGAGAGCUGCAAAACCUGUUGCUGUACUCCUUGUCCUUCAAACUUUUCAAGGUCAUACUACUUAAGUUCCCCACAGUACACAUUCAUUUCCUGUGUCUCUGCUCACAUUCUGCAGAAUGUGAAGAAUCAUCUUCCCUUUCUUUGUCGGGAUAACUCCUCCUUGCCUUUCAGGGGCCCCCUUGCCCAGCAUGGAGCUCAGUUAUGUGUCUAGUUCCAGGUUGUUUCUAAAACCCCAGCACCCUGUUGCUGACCUCUGCACAGAGGCAUCUUGGUAGGUUGACACAUGGCUGGCAUUAACUGGCAGCAUCCGUCAGAGGAGUGAGGGCUGUCAUCACAGCCUUGGGGAGAGACAAUGAGGGCUGGACCAAAUGCGGAGGCAGUGGGGGUUUGGGAAGGUUGAGUUGACAAGGCUGCUGCUGAAUGGAGCUGGAAGAAAAGGGGCAGUGUUCCAGUCUGAGGGCCAGGAAGGGGGCGAGGUCAUGUGUGGAGACAGGGAGCCCAGAAAGAGGAAAGUAUUUGGAGAGGGAGGACAGUUUUAGAACACCUGAGUUUCUGAGCAUAAAGCUCAUAAAAGACCAGUCUCCCUUUAACAAAUUAGUAAUGAAUUAACAGGAGUGACUAAUCUCUCUACCAAAUUCCUCAGCAGUCUCAUGAGAGGAAGGUGAGGACGGCAGGAGAAAAAAAAUCUGUCUCUGAUCUUUUCCUGAAAGAUAUGCCUUUGCUCUUUCCAGUAAACACAGAAAUUCCCCAUUUUCUCCCCCCAGAUACUAGGUGGAAGACUCCACCUAAAGUCAGCUGGCACCUUUCCACAUCCCACAUCCUUUCACAGAACCAGCACUACCACCAGCUUUGGGCUGCUGCAGCCCUGUCAGGUCUGGGUGCCUGUGGGUGCCCUGGCAGAAGUGCUGGCAUAUGUCUGGGCCGCCAGGUUCCAGUGGACUCGCCAGAUGGAGAGGAAUGAGAUACAUGGUUGCGAGGGAGGGGGCGGGAGAAAACGCCACGAAAAGAGAAAGAAGUAGAUGGAUGGGACCAGCAGAGCUUUCUGGCUAAAGCCACUCAGGGUCACAGCCAUCUGGCACCACCUACUGAGCUAUGUGGACAAGACCCUGAGACCAUGACCCAGGCUGCUCAAACUUACCAAGUACCGCCCAGCAUGGGGUUUAAGAGUACAUGUAGAUGGACUGGUGGGAGAAGGAAAAGCUUUGCCAGUUGCAUUGCAAGCCACCUUCCACCAUCAUUUAGACAAUAUAGUGUUAUAGGUUUUGAUGGUUUGGGUUUAGAAGUCAAACGAGCCUAGGUUCAAAUCCUGACUCUGUGAGGAAUGGCCUGACCUUGGGCUACAUAUUUGACCUCUCUGACAGCGGUUUCCCCACUAGCAAAUGGGAGCUAUCCUUUUACCAACUGUGCCAAAGAGCCAAGAAAGGCUGAAAAGAUGCUGAUAACACCUGUUCACAUUGCUGUCGUGAGGCUUCCAUGAGAGAGUGUGUCCAAAGCACUUGGUACCCUGCCUGGCCCACAUACUGAGGGAUAUUUAUUAAGCUGUGGCUUCCUCCACUCCCUCCUCUUGACCAAGUCACUGAACCUAAAGAGGUUGCUUUCAAUUCCCCUGUGGCAUGAGAACUCUAGAAGAGAAGUCCCCACAGUGUGUUACGCAGAACACCACUGGCUCGAGAUGCCCAAGCUGAAAGGAUUCCCAGGAGAAAAAGUUUGGAAAACUGCAUAGUAUAAUCUUCCCUUGUGAAUAUGUAUAAUUCACAUUAGCAUAAUAAGGUUUUAAGAUAAUAAUAAUAUCACAAUAAACCUUCAGUAAAGACCUGCUUAAUUUUGUUUUACCCAAAUUCCUCCAUACGUCUUUAACCGUGGAACACCCCCCAAUACCUACACUUGUAAAAAGUUUUAUUUAACAGGUAUUAGUAUUUUGCAAAAUAUACUUUAGGGAGGGUCACCUGUCCCUUUUUGAAAGCAGCUUAUGGUAGAAUCUGAGUCUUGUGGGGAAGAAAGAGAAAGAAAACAAAGAUUUAUAGAUAUACACAUUUUUCAUAUGGGCUGUAUUAUCUUCUUUAAAAUAGCACACUGCCGUUUUCUAUCUCCUCAUGCUACUUCUUUUCUUUUUCGAUGCCUUAUUGCGUCCUAAAAUUGCAUCAUGCAUUUGAUUUCUCACUUACUGACAUCUCCCCCCACAAGAAUGCAGAUAUCACAGAGGAAAGAUGAUGUGUUUUUCAGGACACUACAUCCCUCGUCCAUAAUCAGGGCUCAAUAGCUGUCCGGUGAAUGAAUGACUUUAAAUACCCAACGGAUGAACCUGUGUUCCAGAAUAUAUGUCCAUCAAAGUAGCUGUUUGGGAAGAGAAACCACAAAAUGACAAGGCACACAAACAGCUUUUGUGAGCUUACUCGCUCCACUUAUUUACUUGGCUCAAAUCAUAUUGGGGUAUUUCUAAACCCAAACUCAAAAGUUAAAAUUUUGCAUUUAUGUAGGAAGGUACUUUCUGGAGUAGUAAAAAUAUUUUAUAUUUUGAUUGUGGUAUAUACAUUUGUCAAAACUCAUCAGUCAUUUAAAAUCUGUGCACUUUAUUACACGUAAACUAUACCUCAAUAAAGUCAAUCUAAGGAAAAAAAUUAAUUUAAAAAAGAUUUUGCAAACAUAAAGUAUUCAAAAGUCUUCUGAAGCUUUGAAAGGAAUUCCAUGGUGGUUUUUUGUUGUUGUUACUGUUGUUGUUGUUGUUUUGUAUCAUGAACAUUGACAACAUCAUUGAAAUAAAGUUAUUUAUUCAAUGGGCUCAUUUUGAAAGGGUCAAAACCCAGAUAAAGAUCAAGAGUGUGUGUAUGUGGGGGGCUACUAUAAACAACUAAGGGUGUGUGUGUGUGUGUGUGUGUGUGUUACAACUACCCAUGUCUUCAGGCACAUCUUGUAGAAGGAAGCUUGAAGAGAAAGCUAAUACCAGGGAACAACAUUCUUGCAGGGCGUGGUGGGCAGGAAGUUCUUGGACUUCAGAUGCUAAUGCUUUAGUUCCAUUCUUUCUCUAAUCCUAAGGAACACGAAGAGGAAGUUCAGGGAGGAAGGAAGCAGGGAAAUUGGAGUGGUUAUGAAGAUCCUUUUUCUAAUAAAGAGAAAUGUUUUUCCACCUGUGCCAAAGGGCUAAGAAAAGCUAAAAAGAUGCUGAGAUGCCACGUGAAGCUUCGGAGUGGGGCCCCCAAACCCAGCCAUGCUUCAGAAAUUUAUCAAGUUGGGUUCCUGUCACACUUAUCCAGUUUACAACUGUGUCUGUAAAGUACUGUGUUGCAAUACACUUUGCAAGAACAGCAUUUGGUAAGAGCCACCCAGACCUUGAGACCCUGGUCCUAGCUAACAGUUGGCAUGUCUCCAACAGAAGGCAUGUGGUCAGAGAACGGUGCUGGCUCCCGGUGUCUCCCCAUCUUCACUUAUACUUCUGUUUUUCAGUGUCUCUACCCUCAUAGCCCACUCCCAGUCCUGGUUGGCAGUUCACCAAAUAGAGAACCAGGAGGUGAGGCUUGGGCCUCAAGAAGCCUUAAUACAAUGAGGCAAAGAGGAGAACUCAGAAAGGGUGAUUUCUGGCUGCUUUCCAGUGGCCUCGGAGAUGCAGGCAUCUGAAAGGGGAGGCGGGUGCCUGGGAUGGCUCCUUUGAGGCCCACCUGAGGGACUCUCAGAGCUGGAAGGGAGAAGGGGAUACUUGUUCCAUGUUCUGAUGAAAGAAGAAAGAACCAAAGCAAAGACUCAGAUGUGUCCUGGAAUUACUUCACCUACGGAGCCAGUUUACCCCUCCCGUACCUUCUGCAGGGUGUGGCUUUGGAUCCAAACCAUGGCCAGGUGGCCCCAAAGGGGAAUGUCCCUUUUAAGAAGUGAUUCAGGAAAUCAAAUAUGUUCCCAUGCAGGAAGAAUGCCUGAACAAGAUAAAAGUUCAGAGAUUCAAA